rnacentral:rRNA from 1 species
GACAGAGGUGCCAAGCGUUAGGCGGAAUCACUGGGCUUAAAGCGUGUGUAGGCGGACGCCUAAGUACCUUGUGAAAUCCCCCGGCUCAACCGGGGAACUGCUGGGUAUACUGGGCGUCUUGGGCCAACUAGGGGCUGCCGGAACAAAUGGUGGAGCGGUGAAAUGCGUAGAGACCCGGAGGAACACCAGUGGCGAAGGCGGCGUCCUGGCCUGCGACUGACGCUGUGGCGCGAAAGCUAGGGGAGCGAACGGG